UACAGAGGUCCCAAGCGUUGUUCGGAUUCAUUGGGCGUAAAGGGUGCGUAGGCGGUGGAGUAAGUUGGUUGUGAAAUCUUGGGGCUUAACCUCAAAAUUGCAUUCAAUACUGCUCCGCUCGAGUUCUGUAGAGGAGAUUGGAAUUUACGGUGUAGCAGUGAAAUGCGUAGAUAUCGUAAGGAACGCCAGUGGCGAAAGCGAAUCUCUGGGCAGCAACUGACGCUGAGGCACGAAGGCCAGGGGAGCAAACGGG
rnacentral:rRNA from 1 species